UACGGGGGGAGCAAGCGUUGUUCGGAUUUACUGGGCGUAAAGGGCGCGUAGGCGGCCACCGCAAGUCAAUUGUGAAAUCUCCGGGCUUAACUCGGAAAGGUCAACUGAUACUGCGGGGCUAGAGUGCGGAAGGGGCAACUGGAAUUCUCGGUGUAGCGGUGAAAUGCGUAGAUAUCGGAAGGAACACCAGUGGCGAAGGCGGCUACCUGGACAAAUACUGACGCUGAGGCGCGAGAGCGUGGGGAGCAAACAGG
rnacentral:rRNA from 1 species